rnacentral:misc_RNA from 1 species
UCAAACUUGGUCAUUUAGAGGAAGUAAAAGUCGUAACAAGGUUUCCGUAGGUGAACCUGCGGAAGGAUCAUUACAAAUCAUUAUUUUGAGUGAAGGUGUGGGGAGAGGGAGUGAUAUAUGGUAGUGUAUGUAUGGAUAGGGAGGUAUAUAUAUGUAUUAUAUGUGUCUUUCUAUCUCUUAUAUACACUAUAAUAAUGAUACUCUCUCUCUCUCGCCUCGCCAACUUUUGCGCUUGUUGUGUUUGACAGAGUAAUAGUUUUGGUAUUAUAUAAUAAGAGACAACUUUUAACAAUGGAUCUCUUGGCUCUUGCAUCGAUGAAGAACGCAGC